rnacentral:rRNA from 1 species
UAGAAUCCGUCAAUUUUUAAAGAGUUUGAUCCUGGCUCAGGAUUAACGCUGGCGGCAUGCCUAAUACAUGCAAAUCGAACGAAGCCUUUUAGGCUUAGUGGUGAACGGGUGAGUAACACGUAUCCAAUCUACCCUUAAGUUGGGGAUAACUAGUCGAAAGAUUAGCUAAUACCGAAUAAUAACAUCAAUAUCGCAUGAGAAGAUGUAGAAAGUCGCUCUUUGUGGCGACGCUUUUGGAUGAGGGUGCGACGUAUCAGAUAGUUGGUGAGGUAAUGGCUCACCAAGUCAAUGACGCGUAGCUGUACUGAGAGGUAGAACAGCCACAAUGGGACUGAGACACGGCCCAUACUCCUACGGGAGGCAGCAGUAGGGAAUUUUUCACAAUGGGCGCAAGCCUUAUGAAGCAAUGCCGCGUGAACGAUGAAGGUCUUAUAGAUUGUAAAGUUCUUUUAUAUGGGAAGAAACGCUAAGAUAGGAAAUGAUUUUAGUUUGACUGUACCAUUUGAAUAAGUAUCGGCUAACUAUGUGCCAGCAGCCGCGGUAAUACAUAGGAUGCAAGCGUUAUCCGGAUUUACUGGGCGUAAAACGAGCGCAGGCGGGUUUGUAAGUUUGGUAUUAAAUCUAGAUGCUUAACGUCUAGCUGUAUCAAAAACUGUAAACCUAGAGUGUAGUAGGGAGUUGGGGAACUCCAUGUGGAGCGGUAAAAUGCGUAGAUAUAUGGAAGAACACCGGUGGCGAAGGCGCCAACUUGGACUAUCACUGACGCUUAGGCUCGAAAGUGUGGGGAGCAAAUAGGAUUAGAUACCCUAGUAGUCCACACCGUAAACGAUCAUCAUUAAAUGUCGGCCCGAAUGGGUCGGUGUUGUAGCUAACGCAUUAAAUGAUGUGCCUGGGUAGUACAUUCGCAAGAAUGAAACUCAAACGGAAUUGACGGGGACCCGCACAAGUGGUGGAGCAUGUUGCUUAAUUUGACAAUACACGUAGAACCUUACCUAGGUUUGACAUCUAUUGCGAUGCUAUAGAAAUAUAGUUGAGGUUAACAAUAUGACAGGUGGUGCAUGGUUGUCGUCAGCUCGUGUCGUGAGAUGUUGGGUUAAGUCCGCAACGAGCGCAACCCCUUUCGUUAGUUACUUUUCUAGCGAUACUGCUACCGCAAGGUAGAGGAAGGUGGGGAUGACGUCAAAUCAUCAUGCCCCUUAUAUCUAGGGCUGCAAACGUGCUACAAUGGCUAAUACAAACUGCUGCAAAAUCGUAAGAUGAAGCGAAACAGAAAAAGUUAGUCUCAGUUCGGAUAGAGGGCUGCAAUUCGUCCUCUUGAAGUUGGAAUCACUAGUAAUCGCGAAUCAGACAUGUCGCGGUGAAUACGUUCUCGGGUCUUGUACACACCGCCCGUCAAACUAUGGGAGCUGGUAAUAUCUAAAACCGGCAAAGCUAACCUUUUGGAGGCAUGCGUCUAGGGUAGGAUCGGUGACUGGAGUUAAGUCGUAACAAGGUAUCCCUACGAGAACGUGGGGAUGGAUCACCUCCUUUCUUCGGAGUAAAUUUUUAAUUUACGUACUAAUUAGUGUACAUUUUUUUAAAAUCC